rnacentral:rRNA from 1 species
UACGAAGGGGGCUAGCGUUGUUCGGAAUUACUGGGCGUAAAGCGCGCGCAGGCGGUCCUUUAAGUCUGAUGUGAAAGCCCACGGCUCAACCGUGGAGGGUCAUUGGAAACUGGGGGACUUGAGUACAGAAGAGGAAAGCGGAAUUCCACGUGUAGCGGUGAAAUGCGUAGAGAUGUGGAGGAACACCAGUGGCGAAGGCGGCUUUCUGGUCUGUAACUGACGCUGAGGCGCGAAAGCGUGGGGAGCAAACAGG